rnacentral:rRNA from 1 species
GGCUCUUCGAAAAAAAUAUAUGGAGAGUCUGACCUGCCCAGUGAUAAGUUUAACGGCCGCGGUACCCUGACCGUGCAAAGGUAGCAUAAUCAUUCGCUUUUUAAUUGAAGGCUUGUAUGAACGGUUUGACGAGGGCUAAGCUGUCUCUUUAUAAAAUAUUUAGAAAUUACUUUUUAGGUGAAAAAGCCUAAAUUAAACUAUGGGACGAGAAGACCCCUUUGAGCUUGAGUAACAUACUAUAAUAAAUUUAUCAUUAAUUUGAAUAAUAUUUUUAAGGUAUUAUUUUUAGUGGGGGAAAACAAAGGAGGAAGAUUAGUCUCCUUUUAUUUAAAUUAUAUAUUGACGGGUAAUAAGUAAUUAAUGAUCCGCUUUAUGCGAUUAAAGGAUAAAGUUACCAUGGGGAUAACAGCGUAAUAUCUUCUGGAGAGUUCUAAUUGAAAGAAGGGUUUGCGACCUCGAUGUUGGACUAGGACGUCCUAAGGGUGCAGAAGUUCUUAAGGGUUGGUCUGUUCGACCAUUAAAGUCCUACA